AGUCAGUCAGGUAGCACUGGGAGAAAGGAGCCUUGCCUGGGCAACGAGACACACCAACCCCUGUGAACUGUGGCAUUGUGCUGAGUUUUUCAAGUUAUUGAGGUAACUGGACCCAUUGAUUGUCUACGAAGAAAGGAUUAGACACAAGCGGGAUUUGUUAAAACCACGCAUUUCAGAUAUAACAAAGUAAGUCAACUGUGAAGCUGAAGAAGUCGGAUUUCCAAGAAGCCUUUGAAAACAAGGGAUUAUGUGCUGCUCCCACAAAGAAAGCAUGUCAAAGAGAACAAGAUUAGUCAAAUGAUUUUAGGCCUUACUGCCAAUAGAGUAUUUUAGGACUUCAGUUGUUCAGCUGCAGAAGUUGUGUGGACAACACUUGUAUGGAAAUGAUGAUGCGUGUACACCUACAUUAAUACAGUUGGAAUCUCCUCCUAAUUGUCAGGGAAGAUGACUUACUGCAGAAUAACAGGAAGAAUGCUGUGGGUUUCCUUGUAAAUGAUCAUCUCAGAGGUUUUCCAUCAGGCAGCUUUCCACUAAUUCUGAGAGGAAAACACAACAGCAAAUCAAAGAAACCUGCAGCAUAUUUCCUUCCCACCUGGAAAUGUUUGAAGUACGUGAGUCUGCAUUCUGUUCGCU
rnacentral:lncRNA from 1 species